CGGUAGCAUGGCUUUUCCGGCCUCCUGAGAGUUAAAAGGGAACCCAGUGUAAUUCUGGGGCUGACGCGCAGCGGUAAGGAACGGCAAGAUGAAAGCAUUAUGCAGACACUGCUUUCUUAUAUAAGCGGGAAGUCCUCAUCUUAUUUAAGCCCCCAAGCCCGAAGACCUGCCGGAAUGACGUCGCAAGU
rnacentral:ncRNA from 2 species